rnacentral:hammerhead_ribozyme from 1 species
AUCCAGCUGACGAGUCUCAAGCAAAACGGAACGCGCGUCAAACUGAAU